GAGUAGGGAAGACAUAUUGUGGUGAUAUUUUAUCUGUGUACCCCAAUAAAGCUUAUCUGGGGACCAGAGGAAAAAGGCAGCCACUGUAUUAAAAAUAGAGGUCAGGUAAUGGUAGCACAUGCCUUUUAAUCCUAUCACUCGGUAGGCAGGAAUCUGUCUGGAUCUCUGUGAGUUAAAGGCCAUACUGGGAACAGAGCCAAGCAUGGUGGUACAUACCUUUAA